UACGGAGGGAGCUAGCGUUGUUCGGAAUUACUAGGCGUAAAGCGCGCGUAGGCGGCUUUGUAAGUUAGAGGUGAAAGCCCGGGGCUCAACCCCGGAAUUGCCUUUAAGACUGCAUCGCUUGAAUCCGGGAGAGGUGAGUGGAAUUCCGAGUGUAGAGGUGAAAUUCGUAGAUAUUCGGAAGAACACCAGUGGCGAAGGCGGCUCACUGGACCGGCAUUGACGCUGAGGUGCGAAAGCGUGGGGAGCAAACAGG
rnacentral:rRNA from 1 species